rnacentral:sRNA from 10 species
UGCAUCUGAAGCCUGACGAGGAUGAGAACCUCCGGGGGCAAGAGGUUCGACCCGAGCGAAGCGAGAGAACGUUGCGUCAGCAACGGCCCGCAGGGCGAGCCACGCAGUGGCGAGUCAUCCUCUAUCACCGAACU